GAUGAACGCUAGCGGCAGGCUUAAUACAUGCAAGUCGAGGGGCAGCGCAGUGUAGCAAUACAUGGGCGGCGACCGGCAAACGGGUGCGGAACACGUACAGAACCUUCCUUCGAGCGGGGGAUAGCCCAGAGAAAUUUGGAUUAAUACCCCAUAGUAUAGCGGAGUGGCAUCACUUUGUUAUUAAAGAUUUAUCACUUGAAGAUGGCUGUGCGUCUGAUUAGGUAGUUGGCGGGAUAACGGCCCACCAAGCCUGCGAUCAGUAACUGGUGUGAGAGCACGACCAGUCACACUGGGGCUGAGACACGGGGCCGACUCCUACGGGAGGCAGCAGUAAGGAAUAUUGGUCAAUGGACGCAAGUUUGAACCAGCCAUGCCGCGUGAAGGAUGAAGGUCCUCUGGAUUGUAAACUUCUUUUAUCUGGGGCGAAACCCUACUAUUCUUAGUAGUUUGACGGUACCAGAUGAAUAAGCACCGGCUAACUCCGUGCCAGCAGCCGCAGUAACAC
rnacentral:rRNA from 1 species